AAUUAUUUUAAAAGAAAUUAACAAACAAAUUUGAACUGAAAUUUGGAUGAUGAUACUCUUAAACAAGCUAGUUUUAUACUAUGAGCUACACAUCAAAAAGUGUUGAUAGAGGAGAAUCGACAUCGAACUAGAUCACACACUUUUAUGCAAUACACCACAUUACGAUCCUCAUAUAUGAUAUGAUAAACAAGGUUGAAAAUUUUAAUUUUCA
rnacentral:lncRNA from 1 species